GGAGCGGCUGCGUGAUAGCGUUCUCUUGUACAAGGUCUGGCAGUUCUCUUGGUCCGCUAAAACUGCAGGCAGCUAGGUGUUGUCUCGUGGGAAAAAUAGCUCUCUGCUAUCGGGGAUGCUGCUGAGGCUACCCCAAAGUGGAAGGAAUGAGGCGAGGCAGCAGUUUUUUGAUUGCUUGAAGGAACUCUCCCUGCCAGGAGGUAGGGAGAGGCUGGGGAGCACAAGCCUCUGCGCUGCAGUGGUCUCUUCAUGCGAGGAGGCGAUACAGUGAAAGGUGUGCUACGUGAAUCCUUUAUGCCAAAAUGCACUGGGGUUAAGCUAGGCUUGUGCUGUUUCCCAAAGUGCAGCUUUGUUUCACAGCGUGGUUUUUGCUGGAGUCCUUUCUAAAGAUCUGCAGUAUUUAGAUUUAAGUUCCAUCUUGACCGCUGACAACUGGCUACCUCUGCCUUCAUCUCCAGUACUGCGGAGGCAUCUAGGAGCUUCCGUCUCAGGUAUUUCUGGUACAUCCCCACUUGCAAAAGCCUUGCAAGGACGACAGCCUCCAGGAGGGCGUCCUAACUAUCCGACCCUGCAGAACAGCCACUGAAAGGAAAUCCAGGCGCCAAUGCGAGCAGGACUCUCCGUAGGGAGCUCUGGACAGACAUCUGUCUUGAAAAUCUGUGGGAUUCGGUAGGGAAACGUGCCAUCAACGCACAUGCUGCAUCAACCCUCGCAGAGCGGUAAGACCCGAGGUAGCAGCAGCACAAAUAGCACAUAAUAAAUCUCUAUUUAGCCUAACACCACACUGUGUAAAAUGCCACUGCCUAAUUUUUGCUCCUCACCCAUGCCAGCAAGAGAAGGGCAGAAAUGUUAUCUCCCCAUUGAGUUUAAAGCACUGGUUUUUUCUAGAAGUGGCACAGUAGCUAACUGACACAUAUACAAGACCACAGUAUAUCAGAGUCAGUCCCUAAAGUAAAAUACCAUUGAUAGGUAACACAAACAUCUCCCAGCAAGGUUCACAAAACCCAAAUGAACAACUCAGUCCUAGGGGUAUCCUGGAGUUCCUUUUAAAUUUCCCUCUUUCGGAGUAUUUGCUGAAACAGAGCCCUGCUGCAGAGACAGCAGUGUGCUGGUGUAUGCAGACGCACAGACAUGCACAAAGAUGGGCAAACAUGCAGUGGCCUUUCCAUUGCUCGCGCUCUCUCAUGGCCACAGAAAUGCUUUGAAGGCAACGUGAAACACGUAGCGGAGGGCGACCAGCGGCUGAGUGAGCCAAGACAGACAGCGAGACGUGAGAGCUGCGCCCUGCGGGGUACCUCAACGGCCACACUGUGGUCGGUCAUGGAGACGCUUGUGUUGCGGUACCAGCACACGUGCAUGGUUGUGUUGGCACGGUGGUGGCUCUGCCUGUCCAAGGAGCUACGAGAAGAGUGUAUGUCAUCUUCGGACUCCUGUUCUAGAGAGACCUCAUCAGAGGAUCCUGGGGGAGGAGAAUUCAGCAGCUGUUUAAGAAAACUGUGCAAUACAAAGGCAGCAAGAAAAGCAGGAAUUCCUCAGAAUAACUGGUUUUCUUCUGCUACGAUCCAGUUUUAAAAUAAGUCAAUUCGAAUUUGUUAUACAGUGUCUAAAAGCCAUUCCGAGACGAUCAUUUUGGCUUUCGCUACUCAACUCUGCUUGGGGCAGCUGACUCAGUACUGCAUAAAAUUAAAAAAAAAUGCAAUCUUAAAAGGAGGAGAGCAUUUUACAGCACCCACUCUGAGGAAGGGUCUGAAAGGAGAGUCCCUUCUUAGUGAGGAACAGGAAAAAGUGCUCUAAGAAAGAAUAAUGUGUUUCAUCACAUCCAUAACAACACCAAAGACAGGCACAAGAACGCUGAGCUACAGAAAAAACUUGCUGACCUGCAAGGACAACUUUUCUGGACAAGAAAACAUAUUACGUUGUUAAAUGGAGAAAAGAUGUAGAUAAGAGAUAAAUAAGGACCCAAUAAAAUUAACAGUUCUGCAGCUGGAGUAUCUCUGCUGUGUUUAAAGCUACCAGGAGCACCAGUCUGGGAAGACAAGCAUAUUUAUUCCAAAUAACGCAGGACAAGAGCUCUCCAUUACUGAAAGAAUGAUAAAAUAUACCAUUUAUGUCAUCAGAUUUCCAAGAGAAAAAAAGAAAGGGACAUAUCAGCUCACACUGUUCAAGAAGGUAGAAAACAUUACUUACUGUUGGAACGAUUGCACACUGAGUUUUCCAGAAGCAUGUCAGAUUUCUCAGUAGAUUUCUUGGCCAUUUCGAUUGCCAUGUUUAGGUCUUCCAUCCAUUUCCCCAUCUCCAGGCGGGUACUGCAAGACAAACAGCAUGAACAGUUACUGCUCAGCCCUACAGCUGUGGCAGAGUGCUGCAUUUCUAAAGGAAGGCAAAACUCCCUGCCCAAUACGAAAAGCCGUCCUUUUCCACUUAAAAAAACAAUUUCCUCCAAAACAUGAUUACAAGCAGCUUUCCUGGUAGGAAACUGAGUUCACAUAGCCUUCGCUGCUAUUUUCAAGCCACUUGAGGCAAGUUAAAAAUAACCAUUUUAAAACUUGGGCUGAAGAAGAAGAAGAAUAACUAGACCGUCAAAAAAAAAAAAAAAAAAAAAAAAAAAAAGAGUAAAAUCUCCCUAUCAUACUCAGAAGAGCAGAAGAGUAACUACCCAGUCUAGAUCAUAACUGUUCUUCCUAUAGAGAGCUGUUCUUCAGUUAGAGGGCUUCAUAGCUAUUUCAAAUAUGAAAUCACGCUUCCACCCUAAAAAAAAAAAAAUUAGUAAGAGCACUUGGAGAUGCGUGGUUAUGACCACACUGGAAAGGAUGAUUCCAGGAUGAAAGGCAAGCUGAAAGACAGCAUGGCUUUUAAAGGGGAUAUAUUAUUUAUCUUUCAUCUCAAGCAAGUAAAACACAGAGUGCAGGAAGAUGAGGCUUUCAGCCGACAGUUCCCAUUACAGGUUGCACGGCUGAUGCCACGUUUACAGGGAAAGAACUUGACUCCUCAAGUAUUGGUAUCUAUAUUCACUGGAAGGCAACAGCACAAAACUUUUCCUUCAAGAAUCAAACAUAGCCUUGGCAUUUCUUUUUCUCCUCCUGCUAUAUUCCCCGCCUGCACAGUUUUUGUUUAAAGUGUUAUAUAUGCUUACACACAGUAUUUGGUUGAGCGGUUCCACGGGGAACCUUUUUUUUUUGUAACCACCUUUUUUCUGUAGCUCAUAAAUUUCUGCAAGUUUUCCAUUUAGACUGCAAAUUCCAAGCAUGGUCGAAGCCCAGCAAUGAUUUUUUUCUGAUAGGAGGGAGGGAAAGUCAUCAAAGGAAAAAAAUCCUUUGAACUAUUUCCAAGUUACGACAAGGUAAAAAGAAAUAUAUUUACUUUUCCAAAUUUAAGACCAUUUCAGACACUUUUUGGCUCACAGUUGCCUAGAAAUGGUUGACCUUAAAAAUAUGUGACAUUUUCAGGUGUCAGACUGUAAUAAAAAAAUUGAGAAAAAAAGAAAGCUUUGCUUGCUAAAUAUAUGAGCACACAAAAGGUACUGGCUGCUAUGCCACUGCCUACCUGAUUGGAUAAAUAUUCAAUAAUGGUUAUUUUUCAAGAAUGGGAGCUAUUAACUAGUAGAAAACCCUACAAAAUUAAAAGUUAAGAUUUACUGCUCCAGUUCUGCAUUCCCAACAUACACAACUCCAGCUGCUUUUUAGAGGAACUGCAGAUGUUCAAAAACUCCUAAAGCUAAUCCUGAGAGACCAGGUGUAGACCUCCUUAUUACGUUUUGGAUAUAGAGGCAAAAAGGACAGCACUGAAGAAUAACACUGAAACACAAAUGCUUAUAGCACUUAGACACCAAGUGCAUGAAGUUAAACACUCAACUAAAAAGCAGCACGAACUUAGCCAGUAACUUUGCACAUCCAGUUCUUUUACAGCAUGGAUUUGCCAGGUAAGUGGAAAGAUCAUCAAGAUUGAUACAUCAAUGUACCAAAAUGAAUUAUACCAUCCUCAGAUGGAUUUGUAGCAGGCUAACCAAAGCAACUUGUCUGAUCAACAGCUGAAUUAGCACUUGCAAAAAUUGUGUGUUAGCUUAUGCAUUCCACUGUAACCAUUUACACAAAAAGCAAAUUACAGCAGGAUAACUGCUGCACAUAAGCAAAGCUUGGUUUUGUAAAUCACAUCUCCAAAUGUGAUAUUAAUCCUAUUUGCUCACAUUUUUUUACCGUCUAUUCGAAAACCACAAAGGUGUAAGUUACUGCUGCGAGAGCAUUUUGGUGCCAGAGCAGUUUGGCAUUUUCGCUUCCCCAGGCAGUGAGUAUCCGGCUGCGACAGACCAGCCCUUUCAUUCCUGAGCGUUUCAGUGCUUGGGAAUUGGCACCAGCCGGUGCAGGAACUGUGCCCCACAGGGACUGCUGGGUCCUGGCACCUGGACACAGAG